AGAGCUUAAAAACGGAAAAUUUACUAACCUAAAGAUUCAUAUCUUCACACAGAAAUCCAGGCAGGAGAAAGGCAGCUGGCCAUGAUGGACAGCUUAUGGUGCUACUCUGCUUUGCAAUGUGGAAGAUGAAGCAGGUUUGGCUGGCUUGCAGGACCACUGCCAGCUACAAGAGACAGCAUAAUCAACACUUGGCAAAAUCUGCCUCAUUCUUCAGCCAAGUGUCUGCCAGCCAGAACCCCACUGCUUGAAGGAUGGCAACACUAAGGAGAGAAUUUCUGCAGGGGAAAUUAAAAUUCAGAAAAGAAAAUAAGACUCUGAUUUUUCUGGGUUUCAUCAAGAUUAUAGAAGAUUUUUCCCUUGAUCCUCCAGGAAAUGCAAAAAUUUAAAUAAACUUGGGAUUUGUUUCA